GGAACCGGCUGGACGGUCGCUGUAUCGCAUUUGCGGUAUGGAGGAAAGUCCGGGCUCCACAGGACAGGGCGCCAGGUAACGCCUGGGGGGCGCAAGCCUACGGAAAGUGCCACAGAAAACAGACCGCCCAAGUUUCCGCUUGCGGGAACCGGCAAGGGUGAAAAGGUGCGGUAAGAGCGCACCGCGCGGCUGGCAACAGACGCGGCACGGUAAACCCCGCCCGGAGCAAGACCAAAUAGGGGGGCACGACGUGUGGUCCGCACGGCUCCCGGGUAGGUCGCUACAGGCGUCUGGCGACAGACGUCGCAGAUGAAUGACCGUCCUCGACAGAACCCGGCUUACAGGCCGGUUCCCACU
rnacentral:RNase_P_RNA from 1 species